ensembl:piRNA 21ur-1855 ncRNA
UUGCGAAUCAGGUGUUUUCGA